rnacentral:rRNA from 1 species
UAGGGAAUCUUCCACAAUGGACGAAAGUCUGAUGGAGCAACGCUGCGUGAGUGAAGAAGGGUUUCGGCUCGUAAAACUCUGUUGUUAAAGAAGAACAUAUCUGAGAGUAACUGUUCAGGUAUUGACGGUAUUUAACCAGAAAGCCACGGCUAACUACGUGCUAG